rnacentral:rRNA from 1 species
AUGUUGACGAGGCGGGCAGCAGUUGAAGCUUCGAACGACCAUGGCUCCUGUGCGAAGAAUACACAGUUGAGAGAGAGGUCAGAGAGAGACCGGGGCAUGAGAGAGAGGUUAGGGAGGGGGAACAGGAUGGAGAGGGAACCCGAGGGAAAAGGGAAGAAGGGAAGGGCACGGCGCUCAUCUGCUGGUCGCCGGUGGCAGCGCCGGUUGCCGGAUGACGAGGCGAGGUGGACUUGCUAUCCGCGAAGUAGAGGAAGCAGGGGAGGAAGAGGGAGAUGGCGGCGCGAGGAGGACGGAGGAAAACCCUAG